rnacentral:misc_RNA from 1 species
CAAUAUUAAAGAUACAAAACGAUAUAUUUUUUCAGGGUUACUUUUUUUUGCUGUAGGAUGUACAACAUCGAGCUAUAUUUCGUUUUUAAUGUGAUAAUAAACACAGAUAACAAGACGAAGAGUACCAUCCACAAUAUCUAUAAAGAUUAACAUAAUGAAUCAAUGCAGGUGUAUAUAUAUUGACUGUCGCUACACCCUGCAUCAUUUGCUUACCGCUAUUAGAGCCUCAAUCAAAAUUGUAACCAAAAUGUCUCGCACAAGCUUAAAACUUCUGCUUAUUUAUUUCUUGUGCGACGCCGAGAUUUCAAAUGCGUCCUUCAUUAAAGAAAGAAGUGAAGUUGCACUCCAUAAAUCAUGUGCUUAAUAUGGAUAUGCUUGUACGAAAGAUAGAGAUUGCUGCAAUAGAGUAUGUCUUCAGUUCUUAAAGAAAUGCAUAACAUAAUUUUGUUCGUUUUUUCUACUAUUAGAUUAAUUAAUUAUUUUACGGUACGGAAAGUGUUACGACUGGAUAAAUUAGGAAUUCGAUGAUUUUUUUUUCAAAUUAAUGUACCUAAAUAUGAUAUUACAUAGUAAUGUUGAUACAAUAAAAUGAAAUGAAAUGUUCGUUUGUUUAUUUACUGAAAUCCAAGUAAAUCACGUCGUCAAUAAUCAGCUUCCAAAGUCGUGGUGGAAUUUCAAAGAAGAAAAUAUGCGAUCGUAAGAUGAUCAAAGGCCAAGUGGCUUGUUCCCAACUUCCUUGAGUACGUUUCAAAAACUUUAUUUGCAAUUACAACAUUUUUAUCGGUGCCAUCUAAGUACAUAAAGGAAAUAGGUACUGAAGGUAAAAGGAAUCUUAAUUAACUUUAGUUGGAAUUAAACAUUCCAAUAACUUGUACUAAAAUAAGACCAAGUACAGUUUUUACGUGCAGUGAUUAAAAAUUAUUGUAAUGGCAAAAUUUUAAGUUAUCAGGUACAUAAGAUCACUAAGAUAUUUAUUAUAUUGUAUUAAUAAAUAAUCAAGAGCUCAUCAAGAACGU